rnacentral:rRNA from 1 species
GACAGAGGGUGCAAACGUUGUUCGGAAUUACUGGCGUAAAGCGCGUGUAGGCGGCCAUGCAAGUCGGAUGUGAAGCCCCGGCUCAACCCGGGGAACGGGCGCCGAUACGACCGGCCUGGAGGGACGUAGGGGACCUGGAACUUCCGGUGGAGCGGUGAAAUGCGUUGAGAUCGGAAGGAACGCCCGUGGCGAAAGCGAGGUCCUGGACGUUUCUGACGCUGAGACGCGAAAGCCAGGGAGCGAACGGG